rnacentral:rRNA from 1 species
GACGAACGCUGGCGGCGUGCUUAACACAUGCAAGUCGAACGCUGAAGACCUGGCUUUGUUGGGGUUGGUGGGUGGGGAAAGGGUUAGGUAACAGGUGGUUAACCGCCCCCCUUCUUGGGAUAAAGCCCCGAAAAGGGGUGCUAAAACGGAAAAUCCCCGGUUCUCGCCUGGGGGGUGGUGGGAAGGUUUGGUUUGGGGGGGGAUGGGCUCGUGGCCUAUCAGCUUGUUGGUGGGGUGAUGGCCUACCAAGGCUUUGACGGGUAGCCGGCCUGAGAGGGUGACCGGUCACAUUGGGACUGAGAUACGGCCCAGACUCCUACGGGAGGCAGCAGUGGGGAAUAUUGCACAAUGGGCGAAAGCCUGAUGCAGCGACGCCGCGUGAGGGAUGGAGGCCUUCGGGUUGUAAACCUCUUUCGCUCAUGGUCAAGCCGCAACUGUGGGUUGUGGUGAGGGUAGUGGGUAAAGAAGCGCCGGCUAACUACGUG